GGGUUUAGGUUAAACAAACCAGGGGCCUUCAAAGCCCCAAACAGGACCACAUCCCCUAACCCCU
rnacentral:tRNA from 1 species